AUUAAUUAACAAGCUCAAGCAAGUACGAUGGGUCUGAAGGCCCCAGCUCGGUGUGCUCGUGGCCAUCAUGGGAAUAGGUUUACGAAGCAGAUCUUCUGGCUUUCUGGGAAGAGUCGAAUUGGAGGUCAUUGGACAUAUGCUUGGGGAGUUUGUAUAUAAUUACUGUUCGUGUCGAAGCUGUGUUUGCGAUGCUGAAGAGUGAUAGGGGUUAGUGUCGAAGUGGUCGAUCACGACUUCAAGCCUAACAUGCUCAAUUUGCUUAAUCAGACUAUACGGCUGGUUAGAGCUACCUAUGCAAAUGGUGUAAACACUGUACUUAUACAGGUAUGUAUAGUUGGAACCUGUGAUGUCAACUUUUGUAUUUUAUGGCUACUUAUAGAAAUUAUGUA